UACGAAGGGGGCUAGCGUUGUUCGGAUUCAUUGGGCGUAAAGCGCACGUAGGCGGCUUUCUAAGUCAGGGGUGAAAUCCUGGAGCUCAACUCCAGAACUGCCUUUGAUACUGGAAAGCUUGAGUCCGGGAGAGGUGAGUGGAACUCCGAGUGUAGAGGUGAAAUUCGUAGAUAUUCGGAAGAACACCAGUGGCGAAGGCGGCUCACUGGCCCGGUACUGACGCUGAGGUGCGAAAGCGUGGGGAGCAAACAGG
rnacentral:rRNA from 1 species